GAUCUUCAUCCGCAAAAACCUCUCCUCCGCCUAAUCUGGAAAUCGCCAUUGUUGCUCUCGAGAUUUCUCGAAGAGGAAAUCACAGGAGGUCUGGAAAUCGGCGCGAGCGAGCCUGCCGCUGCUCGAGCUACCUCCGCGCCGAUCGAUUCUCUCCGAUCGGAGAUGGCGCUAGGGCUUCUGGUGUCAGAAUUGAGCCACACCUCCGCGAGCGAGCCUGCCGCUGCUCGCGCUACCGCCGCGCCAAUCGAUCGAGCGCCGCCUGAAAUUCUUGGCGAGGCCGCACCUCCAGCGAAGUCGUCGUCGACUGCCGUCGUUCUCCCUCUUUCUCAUCUCCUCCGGCGACCACAGCUCCUGCUACAGCCGCCGCCCUCAACAAUUCUCCCUCUCUGCUCGAGCUCCAGCGCCUGAGCCCUAGCUCCCCCAAAUCCAAUCGCGGCGGAGCAAAUACUUCCUCUCAGUCACGUCUAAAGUUAGAAAGAAUAGGUAUGAAAAUAAUUAGAGAUGAUGAUGUGAGCUCCAUGAAAUGAUUCAGGAUGUCUUACUUUUCAGUUUGAGUUUUGUUAAUUCGUGUUGUUGCAACUGAUAAUGUCUAUGCAGCCCCUUCAAACAGUACCCAAAUAUGUAAUCAUCCUGACAAAUUCGAACAAAUAUAGUGAUUUUAACACAUAUUGUUUUGUCUUCAUAUUCUGUGAAUUGUUGUCUAUAUGUAGGCAAAACCAUAUUUGUGUUUCUCUGCACCUAUUAUGCUUAAUAAAACACUUUGUUUCUUUGCAUUUGCCCACGAUUUUACCCAUAAUUUGCAGAUUGGGGAAUUACCUAAAGGAGUAGCAUAGAAUUCUUAUAUUUCAACUAUGAGAUUUUCCUGUUCCUUAUUUGAUUUCUCGGCAUGUCCUCUGACUUUAUUAGUAAAGAAAAGAGAAACAACACUUUUGCCUGAUUGUUCUUUCUAAAUUUUAAAGUUAUGAUCAUGGCAAUUAUCCGUAGCUUGCCUUUUCUUAUGUGUGAACUUGACUAAAUCAUACCCGUUCAUAAUCAUGAAGUUCAACCCUUCUCUCCUUGCCUCUAAAGAUUCAAUGUGGAUUUUGAAACCGUGAUAUUCUUGCAGUUUAGCUAUUAAUUAUGCUGUAUCAUGACGACCUUACAGGAUUACACGUUGUGGUUACAAUGUUU
rnacentral:lncRNA from 1 species